ACAAUCUACUUACUCCUUGAAACUGGAUCCAGAGCACCUGGAAUAAGAAUGUCCCUUAGAAAUCAUCUUGUCUGAUUCUGUUUCCAAUAGCAGCAGAGAAGCUUAUCUCAGGAAUUUGAGAGUGACAAAGAGCAGGAUAGAAACUGCAAAUGAUAUCACCCUUAAAGGAGGAAAGCCUCACUGGACCGGAUACACUCUAAUAUGGCUUUUAUCUGAGAUAACUCUUUAGUCUGAAAGGCACAGAGCAGCUGGAAAUAAGCUGAAGGCUCUUGCGUUAUUGACUUGAGAUAUCCGAAGACAGAGUUGGGAGCCGCUAGAGAAGCUGGAAGUUGAGUUGAGAAAUUCUGGCAAGAAGGAAGUCACAGAUCUGUGUAUAAAGUCCCCUCGAACCCUUGGCUAACUCCUGAUACGCAUCUGCCUGGGGAAAACCCGACAGAAAGCAACAGAUGAAAGGUUGAAAGGAAUUUCAGUUGCUGCUCUUCAUAAAAGAGAGAGAGUUUAGAAUUCGAGUCUGGCCAUGUUGGAGGACUUGGUAAAUUCACCCUAUUCACAGAAACCCCACAAGGUUCAAGCCGUGGGAGCAAAGACUGUGUCCCAGAUCUAAAGGGUUUUAGGUCUAAGCAUAAACCAUGAGACCUACUCCAGAAAGUAUAAAACCAAGUCUCUCUGAGUUCAGUGUGAUCGGCCAAUAACUGUCUUCCAGAACAAAAAUCAACACCAUCCCAAGGACAAUAACAGAAUCCAGAGUCUCUGCAAUACGUCGUGCACAGGGUCUAGUACUUAUUAAAUAUCAGUAGGUAUGCAAAGGAACAGGAAAAUGUGACUCACAGUCAUGAGAAAAACGAGUCAGAAGAACCAGCCCUAAGAUGACAUAGAUGUUGGAACUAGCAGACAAGAAUUUUCAGCAGCUGUUGUAACUAUGCUCAGUCUAGACGUUAUCGACUUACCGUUUCUCAGCCUCGACUUUGCUUUUCUGUGACCUGCUUUGUGAUGUUGGAGCAAGAGUCUGUAACAUUUCUCUUUUGCCAACUGUCCCAGUAUUGAGCUUUGUUAACAGAAGUAUGAGGCUGCCAGAAGACUGCGUGAUGCCCAGCAGGUGGCUUUCCCCGUGAACUUCAGCAGCAGGCUUCAUGCCCAGUGUGGAACACAGUGCAGGGCUUGCACUCACGACCCUGAGAUCAAGACCUGUGCUGACAUCAAGAGUUGGAUGCUU